ensembl:Mt_tRNA
AGGUAAUUAGUUUAAAUUAAAAUAAAUGAUUUCGACUCAUUAGACUAUGAUUAAUAUCAUAAUUACCAA